GAAGCGCGGAGGGAUUUUCCGACGCCGGAGGCGUUGGUAUCCUCCUGGGGUAGAUUACGUUUUUGCUCCGAAUUCAUAAUUAAAGGCUGUAUCACAGCUUUAGAUUUUUAAUCGGGGUUUACUCCCCUAGGCCGCGCGGCUGACAAGCCGCUAAAGGUGCCUCCACACCUACUCGUUUUGGUCUGCGGGGGUUCGAAGACCCCUACCACUCGCUCAUUGCGAGUGGCAUUCCCCUAUCCGCCACCCGGGGGACGUGCCCAGUAGAAGUCCAGCAACUCCUCCCCUUGGGGCCUAGACCCCGACCUAAGUCAGGCCUGGGCGGACCCCUGGGUUGUCGCUUUGUCGCACUUAUGGCGGAAUCGCGGGGACGCUAAAGCACUUCCACAAUCCCGCCAGCGUUUGCCUUUAGGGGCCCGUCGUGGUACAAUACUCCAAAAAGCGCCCUCGAACACUAGUGUGCUUUCCUCCUCGGGGCUAUUCAACGCGGGAGAGGAACCCCCGACCUACAGCCCGCCAGUCUGGCAAAUGGGGAGUAACACCCCUCUCCCGCAACUCCGCUGGGGACAAAAGCACCACUAGGCCUUAUUUAAAUAACGGCCGGUAAAAAUAAUUUUCCAAUUCUUAAGGUUUAUUUUUCUUAUGCUGAAUUCAAUGAAGGAACACGUUACAUAAUUUGUAAUUCUUCUUUUUAAUAUACUAAAAAAAAUCUAAUCACACGUAAAUAUAUGAAAUAUUUACUGUCUCUGCUAUAAUUUACACCAAGCAAUAUAUCACCAAUACUGUUAACAAUUUUUUAUUGAUAAUUCUUUAGUAAGGCGACAUCCAAUUACACGCUUGUUUCACAAAUUUACAGUAUCCACUUCUUAAGAAAUCACACUAAUACCUUGUGUUCUGAUAAUUUUUAGAGUGACUUUGAAUAAUCAUAAUUAAGGAAUGAUUAUUUAUGGCCACUCCUUUCAACGUAUGAAAAUGGCCUGCCAAUUAUUAUUUUGAAGACUGUGAGACAAAUACUGGGAGUCUAAUACUCCUUUUCUUAAGUUUUCGAUGAAUGUAUUUAUUUGUAUUUUAUUACUGGCUCAGAAGCUUAACCUUUUUAAUUGAAUAUAAUCAUAAUAUUUAAAAGGUUAACAUUUUGAAGUUAUUUUCCCCGUGUGCCUAUAAUGUAAAAAAUGUAUUCUUUAUUACGC
rnacentral:misc_RNA from 1 species